GACAGAGGGGGCAAGCGUUGCUCGGAAUCACUGGGCGUAAAGGGCGCGUAGGCGGGAUGGCAAGUCAGUCGUGAAAUCUCUCGGCUCAACCGAGAAACGUCGGCUGAUACUGCCGUUCUUGAGGGAUGCAGAGGAGACUGGAAUUCCCGGUGUAGCGGUGAAAUGUGUAGAGAUCGGGAGGAACACCGGUGGCGAAGGCGGGUCUCUGGGCAUUGACCUGACGCUGAGGCAGCGAAAGCGUGGGUAGCAAACAGG
rnacentral:rRNA from 1 species